rnacentral:rRNA from 1 species
AUUGAACGCUGGCGGCAUGCCUUACACAUGCAAGUCGAACGGUAACAGGUCUUCGGAUGCUGACGAGUGGCGAACGGGUGAGUAAUACAUCGGAACGUGCCCGAUCGUGGGGGAUAACGAAGCGAAAGCUUUGCUAAUACCGCAUACGAUCUACGGAUGAAAGCAGGGGACCGCAAGGCCUUGCGCGAACGGAGCGGCCGAUGGCAGAUUAGGUAGUUGGUGGGAUAAAAGCUUACCAAGCCGACGAUCUGUAGCUGGUCUGAGAGGACGACCAGCCACACUGGGACUGAGACACGGCCCAGACUCCUACGGGAGGCAGCAGUGGGGAAUUUUGGACAAUGGGCGAAAGCCUGAUCCAGCCAUGCCGCGUGCAGGAUGAAGGCCUUCGGGUUGUAAACUGCUUUGUACGGAACGAAAGACUCUGGUUAAUACCUGGGGUCCAUGACGGUACCGUAAGAAUAAGCACCGGCUAACUACGUGCCAGCAGCCGCGGUAAA